ACGUAGGGUGCGAGCGUUAAUCGGAAUUACUGGGCGUAAAGCGUGCGCAGGCGGUUCGCUAAGACAGGUGUGAAAGCCCCGGGCUUAACCUGGGAAUGGCGCUUGUGACUGGCGGGCUGGAGUACGGGAGAGGGGGGUGGAAUUCCAGGUGUAGCGGUGAAAUGCGUAGAGAUCUGGAGGAACACCGAUGGCGAAGGCAGCCCCCAGGACCGACACUGACGCUCAGGCACGAAAGCGUGGGGAGCAAACAG
rnacentral:rRNA from 1 species